rnacentral:rRNA from 1 species
UAAGCAAGGUGUGAAAUCGUACGGCUCAACCGUAUACACAUGCUUUGAACUGGCAAGCUAGAGUGUAGAAGAGGUCACUGGAAUUUCUAGUGUAGGAGUGAAAUCCGUAGGUAUUAGAAGGAACACCGAUGGCGUAGGCAGGUGACUGGUCUAUUACUGACGCUAAGGCACGAAAGCGUGGGGAGCGAACGGGAUUAGAUACCCCGGUAGUCCACGCCCUAAACUAUGGAUGCUA